ACGAGAAAAUUUCCUUCGGGGAAUGAGUAAAGUGGCGCAAGGGUGAGUAACACGUGAGUAAUCUGCCUUCGAAUCUGGGAUAACUUGACGAAAGUUAAGCUAAUACCGGAUAAGACCACGUUUCACAAGAAAUGCGGUCAAAGGGGUCUCAAACCCCGUUUGAAGAUGAGUUCGCGUACCAUUAGCUUGUUGGUGAGAUAACAGCUCACCAAGGCGACGAUGGUUAGCCGGCCUGAGAGGGUGAUCGGCCACACUGGAACUGAGACACGGUCCAGACUCCUACGGGAGGCAGCAGUGGGGAAUUUUGCGCAAUGGGCGAAAGCCUGACGCAGCAACGCCGCGUGAGCGAUGAAGGCCUUCGGGUCGUAAAGCUCUGUCAAGUGGGAAGAACACAAUGACGGUACCACUAGAGGAAGCCCCGGCUAACUUCGUGCCAGCAGCCGCGGUAAUACGAAGGGGGCAAGCGUUGUUCGGAAUUAUUGGGCGUAAAGCGUGUGUAGGUGGUCUUUCAAGUCAGGCGUGUAAGCCCUCGGCUCAACCGGGGAAUUGCGUCUGAAACUGAUUGACUUGAGUACAGGAGAGGAAAGCGGAAUUCCCAGU
rnacentral:rRNA from 1 species